rnacentral:rRNA from 1 species
GACGAACGCUGGCGGCGUGCUUAACACAUGCAAGUCGAACGGUGAAGCGCCUUCCUUUUUGGUGGGUGUGGAUGAGUGGCGAACGGGUGAGUAACACGUGAGUAACCUGCCCCCUUCUUCUGGAUAACCGCAUGAAAGUGUGGCUAAUACGGGAUAUUCUGGGUCUGUCGCAUGAUGGGUCUGGGAAAGAUAUUGUUUCGGUGGGGGAUGGGCUCGCGGCCUAUCAGCUUGUUGGUGGGGUGAUGGCCUACCAAGGCGGUGACGGGUAGCCGGCCUGGGAGGGUGGACGGUCACACUGGGACUGAGGCACGGCCCAGACUCCUACGGGAGGCAGCAGUGGGGAAUAUUGCACAAUGGGCGCAAGCCUGAUGCAGCGACGCCGCGUGAGGGAUGGAGGCCUUCGGGUUGUGAACCUCUUUCGCCAGUGAAGCAGGCCUGCCUCGUUUGUGGGUGGGUUGACGGUAGCUGGAUAAGAAGCGCCGGCUAACUACGUG